CUUCACUAGGGGGCGACAGGGAGCGGAUGGAACUAGGAAGGUGCUGGAUCUAAUGCACAGCCUCCGGGGAGGGGGUGGCAGCAUAUUCCUGUCUUUGGACGCAGAAAAAGCGUUUGAUAGGCUCAACUGGCCUUUCCUCCUCGGGGUGCUACACAAAUUCUGCUUCCCAACACAAUUCUUAAACGCAGUAAAAACACUCUACAGUAACCCCGCUGCGAAAGUCAAUACAGGUGGGUUUCUUUCUCAAUCAUUCAACAUAACCAAUGGGUCGAG